rnacentral:misc_RNA from 1 species
AUGUGGCGCCUGUGUAAUGAUGUUGAUGUUGGGAUGUACAGAGCAGAACUAAUUGAAUUACUCAAAUUGGCAUGGCCAAUGAGUUUGCAAUAUCUUACCAUCGUGCUCCAAAGCCUUGUCAGUCAAAGUUUCUGUGGACACAUAGGAAAAGAAGAAGGGGACGGAGUAACAUUGGCCAUUACUAUAGUGGCUGCUUUUGGUAUUGCUGUGCUUAUAGGACUGUCUUCGGCGGCUGAUACUUUAUUCUCACAGAUUCAGGGAAGUGGAAACAGGGGAGAGUUAGGUGUUGCCCUGCAAAGAGGCAUUUUGAUAAUGCUCCUAUGCUGUUUACCAUGCUGUGCGAUUAUCUUAAAUACGGACCUAAUCUGUCGAUUAGCUGGACAAGAUGCAGAUGUAUCAAGAAUUGCCGGAGAUUAUGGGACUAUAUUGAUGGCAGGUUUACCAGGAUACGGGCUGACACCACUCCUUUCUAAAUUUAUCCAAGUACAGAGGAUCUGCUUUCGCUCUUGUCUUAAGCCUAUGGAGUUCGGCCAUUCUGCAUGUAUUGUUUAUAGCUUGCACGGGCUACAAGAAAGACACUUGGAAAGGCUGGAGCAAAAUGUGUUUAAACGAAUGGAGUACUUUUCUAAAACUAGCUAUUCCAGGAAUAUUCAUGGUGUGUCUGGAAAUCUGGACCGCCGAAAUAACUACAUUUUGCACUGGACUAACAAGUAAAACAGAACUCCUGCAUAUGCUAGCUUGAUUAUUGUUGGAUUGAUGAUUACAGGUGUAUGUACGCAAAAUAAUGCAUAAAAAGUCACACAAAUCCUCGAAUUGAUCUAAAUUCUUUAUUGUGUUUUGUUUGGCAUAGUUUUCUUUUUUUCAUUUCUUUUGAAGACAGGUCGUUUUCGGCAUGGGUAUUGCAGCGAGCAUGCGCGUAGGUAUUCAUUUGGGAGCUGGAAAUGCAGAACAAGCCCAUGUAUCUGCUAGGGUUACAAUCUGUUUUGGAUCUUGUUUUGCUGUCGCCAUUGCUGUUCUUCUAAUCUCUCUUAAAGAUGCAGUACCUCAUUUUUUCUCAAAUGACGAAGCUGUUGUAACCCUGGCAUCCUCCAUCACACCUCUGCUGGCAAUUUUUAAGUUUUUCGAAAUAUAUCAGUCGAUGUGCGCGGGAAUACUACGUGGAAUUGGUUUUCAGGCUUUUGGGGCUGUCGUGAAUUUUAUUGGCAAUUUUCUCAUAGCGUUGCCAGUUGCCUUAUCCUUGAUGUUUGCAUCCUCUUUAAGUGUUGCAGGUGCGUGGUGGGGUACUAUCAUUGGCGCUAUAGUACUUUCUGUGGCCUACAGUAUCAGAAUCUUCACUGUUGACUGGAAACUAGAGUCUAUAAAGGCUAGGAAAAGAGCUGGUGUAGAAAUAGAAGACAUUACAUGCAUAGUCAAUGAUGAAGCAGAAAAUAUACACAUGGGCGAUAGAAAUCGAGAGAUAAAAGAUUACAGAUCAUUUGAUACGUCUGCCCAAAGUGGAGAAGUCUCGUCAAACACACCAACGAGUUCAGCGACAAACAACCUAGAGUUUGUAAUCGGAUGUACAGAGAGCCAGUCCAACAAGCAUGCAGUACGAAGCUGUAAAACCCCAAGUUUCGAUCUUUUCACCAUCAACCAUGUCGUGGAAAAAGAAAAUCAUGUAUUCGGAUUCACCAAUUACCAUAUCUUUUUUCACAACAUCGUCUCUCAAAAAUCUCUCAAGAGGUAAACUAAAUAUUUUCGACACCUCCGCUUCGUUCAUUUUCGGUUCAAAAUCGGAAGGAAUGAUUCCAACUACUAAACUGACAAAUUUAUUAGGUCGCACAAAAGAUGGAGGAAGGACUGCUAUGACAUCCACAUCCUUCGCAGGAAGUCCAGUUUCUUCUUCCGCUUCCCUGAGAGCGGUGCUUAUUACUGAUUGGUCAUCUUCAUCCAUGUGACCUCCCGGAAAUGCAACUAAUCCAGCAUGGGAUCGCAAAUGUUUUGACCGCACAGUCAGGAGAACUUGAACUUUUCCGUCUCGGAUGAACAGGGGAACAAGAACGCUUGCUGAAACAAAUCCCUCUGGUUUGGUAAAAUUAGCAUCUCUCAGUCGAAGGUCGAAUUUGCUCAUGCGUUCCCGAAUCUCCUCCGUUGUUGAAACAACAGCUGUGGUGAAACCAAAACAGGGAUGAUAGAUCAAAGUCAAAAAUUCUAAUUUAAAAUGACCUGAAGUUCAAAUUAAAUUUAUGUCCAAUAGAUAAACUUUAUACAUGAUCGAAAUCCUAUAUUCGCCUCUGCUUUUUUUUUUAAAUCAUAAUUAACAAUUUCCGAUCCUGGCAAAGUUCGAUAACUCUAAAUUAUCCGGAAUGUUUUUAUUCUUACCUUAAAUCUGUCUUUUAUAGCGUUAAUAUAACGCAUAACCAUUCAACGAACUGCUUGGUUUAGUGGCUUCACGGAGAAUUAAUACCAAUAGGAAGAGGUGUUCGGGCUACCGAUGCACCUCGCCUGUACAUCCGGGUUUUUUUUAUAAUUUGAUCUCAACUUGUAUACGUUAUUUAUUAUAACUUUCAUAACAAUUCAUUAACUUGUAUACGUUAUCUAUCUUAGUCAUAGUGGCCAAAACUACAAUAACUUUGUAAAAUGCAUGGAUGCCAUCAAAAAAUUUAUUUUUAUUUUCAUUUCAUUUAUAAAUUUUGAAGGAUAAAUAACAAUUUGAUAAUGAAAAAAUACUUUGAGGCUAAGGAUCGGAGCACCUUAAUGUAUAGAUUUUAGUUCUAUGUCUUUAUAAACUAAAACAGAAGGGAAUUUUAAUUACAUGUCAAUGUUACAUAUGAUGUUUUCAUGGGGUUUUUUUUGUUUGGUUUUUUGGGGGUUUUUUUUUUUUUUUUGGUCUCGUAACUUAUUUUGAUGUGUCACGUACGAAUUUUGGAUGUUUAUAUAUUUUUUUAUACAUUGUACAAUUUCUGAACCCUCCGCCAUUUGCAUGUACAUUGCAAUUACCAGUGUUGUAUACCUACUAGCCACGGGACUCCUUUGGUAAAAGAAAUAAAAGUUCACCGCCAAAUUUACCCAAUAUAGUUUAAAUAGAACUUAAUUCAUAAGCUUAAUACACUUUUUAAUAUAAAAAAAAUCAACUCAUUAUUUAGUUUCCCUAGAAUUUUGUUAACUUAAUGCAUAUCUCAUGAUACAAGUUCAGGGGCGUAUGCAGCUAGUCAACUACUUUCAUAUACUGUACCUGGUCCGCUGGAACUUGAAGCCAUUUUUCUCACUAUUCUAACUAAGUUUCUCAUAAACUGUCAUGCUGGUAAACAGAAUCCUUGCAAUGAUAAUAAGAAUGUUCUGUUUGUCCUAACCUGAAAUAAAUAUCAACAUAUAAAAUAUUAUGUUUCUCAUUUUAUAUAUUCAUUAUAUAUUCAUUAAUGUAUGCAUAUGCGUCUAUCUUGUGUUUUCAUUUUGUAUUUGUCCUGAUUAUGUUUUAACAUUUUGCUUGCCAUAUCACUGUAUUUCUUGUGAAUCAACACCAAUUCUUAAAUAAAUUUUAUGGAAAGCUGAAAUCAUAAACUUUAAGGAAUGCUGCUAUAUCAGUGAGACUUCAAGUUGGCGGAAAGCCAAAAAAUAGAGAAGUCUAUAUAUAGUGCAUAUAUCAACAAAAC